rnacentral:rRNA from 1 species
ACAGCAGCAGCCACGGUAAUACGAAGGGGGCUAGCGUUGUUCGGAAUUACUGGGCGUAAAGCGCACGUAGGCGGAUAUUUAAGUCAGGGGUGAAAUCCCGCAGCUCAACUGCGGAACUGCCUUUGAUACUGGGUAUCUUGAGUAUGGAAGAGGUUAGUGGAAUUGCGAGUGUAGAGGUGAAAUUCGUAGAUAUUCGCAGGAACACCAGUGGCGAAGGCGGCUAACUGGUCCAUAACUGACGCUGAGGUGCGAAAGCGUGGGGAGCAAACAGGAUUAGAUACCCCAGUAGUCCCUGUCUCUUAUAC